rnacentral:rRNA from 1 species
UUUCGAAUUAUUUACAAUGGGCGAAAGCCUGAUAGUGUAACGCCGCGUGGAGGAUGAAGGUCUUAGGAUUGUAAACUCCUGUCAUUGAGCAGCAAAAACUGGAUUCAUAAUCCAGCUUGAGUUAACUCAAAAAGGAAGUAGUGGCUAACUCUGUGCCAGCAGCCGCGGUAAUACAGAGACUACAAGCGUUGCUCGGAAUCACUGGGCGUAAAGGGUGCGCAGGCGGUUGAAUGUGUCAGGUGUGAAAUCUCGGAGCUUAACUCCGAAAGUGCGCUUGAAACUGUUCAACUAGAGUGCUGAAGGGGUAAGCGGAAUUCCGUGUGUAGCAGUGAAAUGCGUAGAUAUACGGAGGAACACCAAAGGCGAAGGCAGCUUACUGGGCAGCAACUGACGCUAAUGCACGAAAGCAUGGGGAGCGAAAG